GAUGAAGAACGCAGCGAAAUGCGAUAAGUAGUGUGAAUUGCAGAAUUCAGUGAAUCAUCGAAUCUUUGAACGCACAUUGCGCCCUUUGGUAUUCCUUAGGGCAUACCUGUUCGAGCGUCAUUUAAACCUUCAAGCUCAGCUUGGUGUUGGGUGACUGUCCGCCGCCUCCGGGCGGUCGGACUCGCCUCAAAUUGAUUGGCGGCCGGUACUUUGGCUUCGAGCGCAGCAGAAACGCGAACUCGAGGCCGUCGUCCUGGCUCCCAGAAGCUAUCUUCACAAUUUUGACCUCGGAUCAGGUAGGGAUACCCGCUGAACUUAAGCAUAUCAAUAAGCGGAGGA
rnacentral:misc_RNA from 1 species